UCUUGCCCCAGCUCUUCAGAGAAAUGGCUGCUUUUAUCUUUUUACAGUUUCUCAGAGAUUUGUUACUAGAUAUUAAUUUCAGCACAAGGUUGUUUAGGAAGUCAGGUGAGCUUAAGGAAAGGUCAGGAGAAAGAGCACUGAAGACUUGGGGAAAUUCAAUAGCAGGCAAGAUCUCCUCUUCUGCUUUAUUCAGUUUAAUGGAAGUGUAAAUAGCUGGACUCACCUCCUCCAGGCCAGACUUUUCAUGACCUAAAACUAAACUGCUGGAUCAGCAGCAGCUGACAGAGCCACUGGAUCCAUCAGCAAGGAUAUGCAGCCAGUCACUGGGAUAACAACUUUUGACAGAAAGUCACCCUGGUGUUGUCACUUGAAUCAAGAACUGAGGGAGCUGCUCUUGAAGUGUACAGGCCACUGUGUUUUCCUUCUUCAUAUCUGCCACAGAUGUGCCUUCCUCAGCUUCUGAAAUCAGCAGUUCAGCCCAACAUUGCUUCCUGACAGGCCCCCAGCACCCAGACCUGUGGUGCUGCUGGGAGAAGUCCUGCUCUUAGCAGGAAAGAUUUGCUGGGAUGAGUGUUUGGGCUCCAUGGAGACUGAUGCCUGGCUGGAAUACAGAGGCAAAAUGAUGCUGCACAGAGCCCUGCAGGACUGUUUAUUCCCUUUUCAGACAGAAUUGAUAAUUACUGCCCCUGGUGCUAUAGCACAUCACUCCUUUUAAUUUGCCCCAUAAACCACGCAUUGUCUUUAAUUUCUUUUCCCGUUCUUUUUGUUAAUGAAUGAACAAAUAUAUUUUCUUUAGGUCA